AACAAAAUAGUUAAUUUAUAAUAUAAAAUUGUCAAUUUUAAGUUACUUUUAAUAAAGUUUUUGUUU
rnacentral:tRNA from 1 species